CAAGGUUCAUCCAUGGAAUGCACCUAGAGAGAGAAACCUCCUUCAGUGGGCUCUGAUGUUAGUCUGAAAAUCCUACAUUACCUUUCCUGUGGAGGAAGGAGGUGCUUCUGGAGAGAUCUUACACCCCCACACUGGUGUGAAGGUGGAAGUGUAUUAAAUUGCAGAGGAGCAAUUGAGAGGGAGAGGCAGUUGGACCACAGAUCCCAGUUUGAAUUGAAGGUUUCUCAUCCAGAUGUGGUGAACCGAUGGCAGGAGGGAGAAGGCUUUAUCUGCACCACCAGCUUUCUGUGUCACCUCUCAGUUGCCAUGCUGUGGGCAUUGUCUGUACCACAGAGGAAGAGCCUGGCAGGGCUACUCAACUGAGGUGCAGCGCUUCACCAAUCCAGAAAUGCUGCUGAUUUGUCUAUUUCAGCUUCCAACCCAUCAACAAGGCUAAUAUACAAAUCCUUCUGGACACAAUCCAGGUCUCUCUGCAUUGUAUUUCUAGAACAGGAGUGUAGCCAGGACCUCUCUGCAUUUAAUGCUGAUUUUAUCUGGGUUUUAUCAUCACUAGCUGAGCAGGAUCUGAGGUGAUUUACCCCAGAAGCUGUGCCUCUGCACCUGCUCCCCAGUGCUUGGCUUGGAAAACAUCUUGGCUGCUGUGUGCUGCUGCUGAAGGCAAGAAGUGAGCUUUUGGGUUGGCCUGCACCAUACUCCAUACAGCUGAGUGGUUGUAGAGAGGCUGUGUUAUAGAGAGGCUGUAACCACCCAGCUGCAACCAGCAGGACCAAGUGAAGUGGCAAAGUGUGGCAAAACCUAUCCUUUGUGGGGACCUUACUAGAUUUACAAACUUAUUGUAAAAUACCCAAGAGGUUUUGCACUGUCUGCGAUGCUCCAGCCCACUCCAUGACCAUGAAUUACAAAAUGAUGUUCUAAGUGCAACACCAGCUUUGCUCAGUCAACCCAGACCCAAAUUGAGCCCCUUAAAAGGGACUAGGACACGAAGCAUCCACAGUUUUCCACUGCCUGGGUUUGUGGCUGACCUGCACUUCUGAAAAUGAGUCCAGUUUGAGCUAAAAAAGGAAAGCAACCAAACCUUCAGCAACUUUUUUGAGUAUCUU
rnacentral:lncRNA from 14 species